GAUGGAUUGCCCAAUAGGUGAAUAGUUUUUUGAAUAUUUAUAUUUACACUGAUUUUUAUAUAUAUAUUGCUUCUUGAGUAAAUGCAUCUUGUUUUAAGGAUGUUUAUUUUACUGGAAAACUAGAUUUUUUUUCUCUCAACUGGAUGUAUAGAUAGUGGAUAUCCAAUGGGGGGGUACUGACUGACUGACUGACUGACUGACUGACUGACUGACUGACAGAUCUAUCUCAUGCCCCUAUUUUCCCAUGCAUACGUCAAUGUUACCACAUCUGAGGGCUUCAGAUGGUCACCACCUCAGAUCAAAGUCCAACUUGCAAAAAUAGCCACAGACAACAGACUCAAAGUAUUGCAGUUCAAAGGAGUCUUCAAAUGGUUAAAUAUUUGUCUACUACUCGUCAUCGAGUUAUACAUGCAACUUUUUGUUAAGCAUGAGAAACAUGUCUGGUCAAAACCCAAAGCAGGAAGCCUGUGGUAUCUGAUGGCUCGGGGCAGGAUGAAUGUCACAUUGCCGGCUGGAGCAAAGUCUAUAUGUGUGCACUGCUCCUCUUGUCUCCGGGCUGCAGACACCUGCCCUCAUUGCUGGGGAGGUCAGGUUACAAUGAUGAGGCAAGAUCUGGCCAAUCAGCUCCUGUGA
ensembl:lncRNA